GUGCUCGCUUCGGCAGCACAUAUAAUAAAAUUGGAACGAUAAAGAGAUUGGCAUGGCCUCUGCACGAGGAUGACAUGCAAAUUUGUGAAGUGUCCCACAUUUUU
rnacentral:snRNA from 1 species